CGGGACACGUGGUAUCCUGUCUGAAUAUGGGGGGACCAUCCUCCAAGGCUAAAUACUCCUGACUGACCGAUAGUGAACCAGUACCGUGAGGGAAAGGCGAAAAGAACCCCGGCGAGGGGAGUGAAAAAGAACCUGAAACCGUGUACGUACAAGCAGUGGGAGCCUCUUUAUGGGGUGACUGCGUACCUUUUGUAUAAUGGGUCAGCGACUUAUAUUCUGUAGCAAGGUUAACCGAAUAGGGGAGCCGAAGGGAAACCGAGUCUUAACUGGGCGUUAAGUUGCAGGGUAUAGACCCGAAACCCGGUGAUCUAGCCAUGGGCAGGUUGAAGGUUGGGUAACACUAACUGGAGGACCGAACCGACUAAUGUUGAAAAAUUAGCGGAUGACUUGUGGCUGGGGGUGAAAGGCCAAUCAAACCGGGAGAUAGCUGGUUCUCCCCGAAAGCUAUUUAGGUAGCGCCUCGUGAAUUCAUCUCCGGGGGUAGAGCACUGUUUCGGCAAGGGGGUCAUCCCGACUUACCAACCCGAUGCAAACUGCGAAUACCGGAGAAUGUUAUCACGGGAGACACACGGCGGGUGCUAACGUCCGUCGUGAAGAGGGAAACAACCCAGACCGCCAGCUAAGGUCCCAAAGUCAUGGUUAAGUGGGAAACGAUGUGGGAAGGCCCAGACAGCCAGGAUGUUGGCUUAGAAGCAGCCAUCAUUUAAAGAAAGCGUAAUAGCUCACUGGUCGAGUCGGCCUGCGCGGAAGAUGUAACGGGGCUAAACCAUGCACCGAAGCUGCGGCAGCGACGCUUAUGCGUUGUUGGGUAGGGGAGCGUUCUGUAAGCCUGCGAAGGUGUGCUGUGAGGCAUGCUGGAGGUAUCAGAAGUGCGAAUGCUGACAUAAGUAACGAUAAAGCGGGUGAAAAG
rnacentral:rRNA from 1 species